rnacentral:rRNA from 1 species
AGUGGUACGCGAGCUGGGUUUAGAACGUCGUGAGACAGUUCGGUCCCUAUCUGCCGUGGGCGUUGGAAGAUUGAAGGGGGCUGCUCCUAGUACGAGAGGACCGGAGUGGACGAACCUCUGGUGUUCGGGUUGUGUCGCCAGACGCAUUGCCCGGUAGCUAAGUUCGGAAUUGAUAAGCGCUGAAAGCAUCUAAGCGCGAAGCGAGCCCUGAGAUGAGUCUUCCCUGA